UUGGCUUCUUCUCAUCUACCAUUUUCUGCUUACCUUUACCAUUCGGAGAUGCAUAAGGACUACCACGAUCCUUAUUCUUCUUCUCACUAAGACUUUUGUAAUGAGCAGUCCUAGCCUUGCUAUCUUCCCAAAUAUCCUGCACUUAUUAACCAAUGUAGGAAACCUACGAAUCUCCUGGUAACCAAUGCCUUGUUUGAUCUCGGGACGCAACCCGUUCUCAAACUUGACACACUUGGAUCCCUCAGCACAACAUUAUUAUAGUGAGGACAAUACUGCACCAGCUCCUCAAACUUCGAAGCGUAGUCAGCAACAGACAGGUUACUGCUUCAGUUCUAGAAAUUCCAUCUCCUUCUUACAUCGCACAUCAGCAGGAAAUAUUUCUCCAGAAAGGCCGUCUUGAACCUUUCCCAAGUCAUCUCAGCACCUGGUACUUCAAUUCUCUGGCGAGUGUUAUCCCACCAGUUUUCAGCCUCUUCAGAUAACAUAUGCGUACCAAACUGCACCUUCUGUGCUUCAGUACACGUCAUCACCCGGAAAAUCUUCUCAAUCUCCUUCAGCCAAAUCUGAGCACCAUCUGGAUCAUAGCGCCCUUUGAAUG
rnacentral:lncRNA from 1 species